UACAGAGGGGGCAAGCGUUAUUCGGAAUUAUUGGGCGUAAAGGGCGCGUAGGCGGCUUUGCAAGUGACGGGUGAAAUCCCUCGGCUUAACCGAGGAACUGCCUGUCAAACUGCAUGGCUUGAGACCGGGAGAGGUGAGUGGAAUUCCCAGUGUAGCGGUGAAAUGCGUAGAUAUUGGGAGGAACACCAGUGGCGAAGGCGGCUCACUGGACCGGUACUGACGCUGAUGCGCGAAAGCGUGGGGAGCAAACAGGGAUUAAGAAAACCCUGG
rnacentral:rRNA from 1 species